GAUGAAGAACGCAGCGAAAUGCGAUAAGUAAUGUGAAUUGCAGAAUCCAGUGAAUCAUCGAAUCUUUGAACGCACAUUGCGCCCGCCAGCAUUCUGGCGGGCAUGCCUGUUCGAGCGUCAUUUCAACCCUCGACCUCCCUUUGGGGAAGUCGGCGUUGGGGACCGGCAGCACACCGCCGGCCCUGAAAUGGAGUGGCGGCCCGUCCGCGGCGACCUCUGCGUAGUAAACCAACUCGCACCGGAACCCCGACGUGGCCACGCCGUAAAACACCCAACUUCUGAACGUUGACCUCGAAUCAGGUAGGACUACCCGCUGAACUUAAGCAUAUCAAUAACGGAGG
rnacentral:misc_RNA from 1 species